GUUGUUUUGGCUCAGUGAGUAGAGCUUAGGGUUCGUGACCGGAAGGUCCGGGUUCGAAUCUUGCAAGAGGCG
rnacentral:tRNA from 1 species